rnacentral:rRNA from 1 species
UACGUAGGGGGCUAGCGUUGUCCGGAAUCAUUGGGCGUAAAGAGCGUGUAGGCGGCCCGGUAAGUCAGCUGUGAAAGUCGGGGGCUCAACCCUCGAAUGCCGGUGGAUACUGUCGGGCUAGAGUGCGGAAGAGGCGAGUGGAAUUCCUGGUGUAGCGGUGAAAUGCGCAGAUAUCAGGAGGAACACCAAUUGCGAAGGCAGCUCGCUGGGACGUAACUGACGCUGAGACGCGAAAGCGUGGGGAGCGAACAGG